GAAAAUACAAGUACUUUGUUUUGUUAGUUUAUGAAUAGUAACUGCUAUAUUGGUCCAUUUUCUGUACUCAUUUUGGUUUUAUUCACAUCUACACUCCUCUAAUUCUAUAAUGUAAACAACAAAAUAUGUGCGAAUUCUACCAUCUCAGCCUAAAAAGCUUAAUUUGAGCUUUGAUUAUUCAUACUAAGAGAAACCAAAGUUACAAAAUAUGGAGCCUACAA
rnacentral:misc_RNA from 1 species